AUUGAACGCUGGCGGCAUGCCUUACACAUGCAAGUCGAACGGCAGCACGGGUGCUUGCACCUGGUGGCGAGUGGCGAACGGGUGAGUAAUACAUCGGAACAUGUCCUGUAGUGGGGGAUAGCCCGGCGAAAGCCGGAUUAAUACCGCAUACGAUCUACGGAUGAAAGCGGGGGACCUUCGGGCCUCGCGCUAUAGGGUUGGCCGAUGGCUGAUUAGCUAGUUGGUGGGGUAAAGGCCUACCAAGGCGACGAUCAGUAGCUGGUCUGAGGGGACGACCAGCCACACUGGGACUGAGACACGGCCCAGACUCCUACGGGAGGCAGCAGUGGGGAAUUUUGGACAAUGGGCGAAAGCCUGAUCCAGCAAUGCCGCGUGUGUGAAGAAGGCCUUCGGGUUGUAAAGCACUUUUGUCCGAAAAGAAAUCCUUGGCCCUAAUACGGUCGGGGGAUGACGGUACCGGAAGAAUAAGCACCGGCUAACUACGUG
rnacentral:rRNA from 1 species